UAUCAAAUGCUUUUGUAUAAAACAGAGGCCAAUCAGUGACCAAUAACAAGUGCAAGUUAGCUAUACAAAGCACUGUUAGAGUGUAAUGGCCAAACUGAGAAGGACCCAGUCUGAGCAGAGCCUCUGCUUAACACCACGACGUUCCCCAGCUGGGAUGCUACGGCAUUUCACCAGGCUACAACGUGCUCACAGAUUAUGGAAGCCACCUUCAGCAUCGACCUCCAUCUUGAUCACAGCUCUUUCAGAUGAUCUACUUGGAGUACUCCACCUGUACCCUCAUGAGGGAGAUGGUCAGCUUUAACUCGUCUACUAAACCAAACUCCAUACCUUUGAUGAUCCAGCAUUCUCUAAGUGUCCACUGGAGCGGAAACUGGGCCAUGAGAUCAGGAAAAAGAAGAGCCUGAAUACACAGCAGCAGUGGAAAGGUUACCAGUGAAAAGCAAUUGCUGACCAGAGGCUCACACACAGAUGCGCUUCUCUGCGGAUGAAACACGGUAAAGGUGAUUCUGUUAAUUGUCACAACAAGACACCCGAAAGCCACAGAGAAAUCAGCCGUCAUGACAGCUCAGUCAAAAGGCAUGUGGUUGCCAUGACUUCUGUGAAAACAAAUUGCCUAUGAAGAAACAAACUUGUUUUGCUUACGUAGUGCAUGGUAUAUAUUGCAGAGUAUAUUUCAAAAUCUAAAGGGAAGUUUCCAUCUGUGGUGAGGUGCCGCAUUAAUAUGUAAUAACGUCAUUGGUAGUGUACAGUGCCUUUGAAUACAAACGCAAUGAGGUGUAUUUCAA